UCCAGAUAACUGCUCAGUCAUCUGGCUGGGAGAAGGAAUUAGAGCACAAAAUCGGAGAUACAGAGAGAGUGAACGAGGGAGGGAAAUAGAGAUACAAAAUGGAUCAACAUUCAGAGAGCGGUGAGUCCCCACCGUGUGACCCUCAGCCUGCCGGGAAAACAAGAAAGGGCUUCAAGCUUUUUGGAAAGCGCAAGCCAGGCUCUGGGGUGAGCAGCAUGUUCUCCAUGCGCAGCAAAGGCGAUGGGAACAACCCAAACAAGUCCUCCAUUGCAAGGACCAAUACUCAGGAUGGAUUAGGAGAGACUGUGGCGCAGGAGUUUGAACAAGAGCAAGAGAAGAGGCAGGAGCAGGAUCCAGAGGUUGGUCAAAGAGACGAGGCGGAGAUAGCAGGAGAGGUAGAUGAAAUUGCAGGUUAUGAUGUCACUUCCUAUAGUGUACCACCCCGUCCCUCCAUCUCCUCCGUCACCUCCGCCAAGUCUCUGGGCUUUUUGUCGCUACUACGUGGCGGGCGGCGUGGAGGGAGAGACCGCCAUGCCCACACUGUGUCUCAGCCGUCCAUGAAACAGCGCAGGGGUCUCAAAGGUCUCUUUGGCAGUGUCCCCUGGCACCAGAGGGAGAAGCCCAAGGAGCAAACCCCUCCAAGCCCCCUACUCAUGACGUCACGUACCAACAGUGUGGAGAUUAUUAAAGAGGAUCUUACCUUAACUCCCAAAACCCCCCCUCGCACUAUGACCAGCCCUGAGCACGAGCAGGACCCAGACACUGCAGCCUCGGCCACCACUCCUGAGAGAUCAGAUGCAGGGGGGGCAGUGGCUUCAGAAAACACGUGUGGAUGUAAUCUGGACGUUCUAGAGGCGCACCCCCCACCUGUCCCCACCACUGAGCCUCCCCUUGACCCUGCUGUGGACCGCCUCAGCUCGCUGAUGGCCGACAUCUCUUUGCUCAUCAGCUUUGAUUCGUUCACGGGCUGUGGAGACAUCAUUGCUGAUGUGGAGGCAGAGUGGGGGAAGGCAAGCAGCGCUGCAGGGGGGGGUGGAACUAGGGCAGCGGCAGGGGCCAAACCUUCUUCCACACCAACUACUUUUGAUGCUGCUCCAGAAUCUACAACGCUCACCCCUAUAACCAAAUCAUUCAUGUCAUCUGUCCCCUCUACAAAACUGACUCCUCACUCCAUCUCUCCUACAACAAAAUUAGUCAUUUCUACUUCCACUUUUAAUCAACCUAGCCCCAUUCUUAGCACUAAUAUCAAACCCAACCUUACUUCUACCCCUAACUUUACCCCAAACUCCACCCCAACUCCACACCCUGUGUCCACCUCUUCCUCCAUCACUUCAUCUUUUACCUGUACUGCUUCAGUUAAACCAUCUCCUGUGGCUGCUCCACCUAUCUCUGCUGUAUCUAAACCCUCUCUUGUAGCUCCACCCACCUCUGCUGUAUCUAAACCCUCUCCUUUAGCUCCACCCAUCUCUGCUGAAUCUAAACCCUCUCCUUUAGCUCCACCCAUCUCUGCUGAAUCUAAACCCUCUCCUUUAGCUCCACCCAUGUCUGCUGUAUCUAAACCCUCUCCUGUAGCUCCACCCAUCUCUGCUACAGUUAAACCAUCUACCGAAGCUCCACCCAUCUCUGUUGUAUCUACACCAUCUCCUGUAGCUCCACCCAUCUCUGCUGUAUCUAAACCAUCUCCUGUAGCUCCACCCAUCUCUGCUGUAUCUAAACCAUCUCCUGUAGCUCCACCCAUCUCUGUUGUAUCUAAACCCUCUCCUGUAGAUGCUCCACCCAUCUCUCCUGAAUCUAAACCUUCUCCUGUAGCUCCACCCAUCUCUGCUGUAUCUAAACCCUCUCCUGUAGCUCCACCCAUCUCUGCUGUAUCUAAACCCUCUCAUGUAGCUCCACCCAUGUCUGCUGUAUCUAGACCCUCUCCUGUAGCUCCACCCAUGUCUGCUGCAUUUAAACCCUCUCCUGUAGCUCCACCCAUCUUUGCUGUAUCUAAACCAUCUCCUGUAGCUCCACCCAUGUCUGCUGUAUCUAAACCAUCUCCUGAAACUUCUGCACUACCCGCCCUUGCUAAACCAACACCUGUCUCUCAGAGCAAUUCACCUGCUGCAUUUGCCUCUUAUACCAUAUCCUCCAAACUAGGUUCCACAGAAGCCAUUAGCUUCAAAACAUUUUCACAUCCCACUCCUUUUCAAAGUUCAUUAGGGCCUACAUACCCCCACAACCUGACCCCAAUCCCAGGUCUGCCUGCAUCUCCAGACCCAGUCCUUGGCCAAACCCCUAAUCUUGCUGCAGCACGGAGUCCCUUAACAACAAUUGUGUCUCUACCAAAGGCCCCUUCUUCACACUCAGAUUCUCCAGUUUCUCCUCCAAAAGCAUCCUUAACCACAGAUUUCUCUUCACCCCAGACUCCAUCUUCCCCCACAACUACUCAAGCCAUGGUCUCAGCAUCCAAUCCACCUCUUGACCCUACGCCUGCCUCAGUUUCAUUCAUCAUGACCUCUCCUGCCUCUGCACACUCUCUCUUGACUGCUCCCACACCUGCUGCAGUUGUUACGAACCCCUUAACCUCUUCCCAGGCAAAAAUAGGUAGAGAGAAUGAAGCCUCUCGGAAUGGAGGCAAGAGCACAGCCACUCCAAACGGCAUGGACGUCGGGACCAAAUCAUCCAAGCAAGAGGAUCAACACGGAGCUUCCCAGGACGAAUGUCUUGAUGUCCCCCAGUCAGAAAAAAAGAGCCCCCCAAAGAAGACUGCAGGGCUCAGUAAGAUUCCUGUGGUUGGAGGGGGUCGGCCAGCAAAGUUGCCUGUCAGGAAGGCCAUGCCCAGUGACGACGAAGGGUGUUGGGAUGUGCCCACUCAAGGGCAUGAGGAGGAGAGUCCCCACAUCAGCCAGCAACACAUGGAGAGCAGAGACGGUAUGAUUGACCCCUCCACUAAUGUGGAGGUUAACUUACCCACAGUCUGGAAAUCCAGUCCAGAGGAGAAUCCAUUUCAGCUGCCCAAAAUUGCAACAAGUUUAUCACGGGACUCUAAGAUCCCAGUAAAGCAAGGAGUCUCAAUACAUGCCCCUCCCUCUCAGAUUCCUGUCGCCAAGGAGCCCCACCGCACCAAGAUACCCGUAUCAAAGGUACCGGUCCGCCGGAGUUGCAACAAAACCACAGCUGCUUCUCCAAAACCCAUCACAGAACAGCUGAGGAAAUAAAGACAGCAGACAGGAUCAAUUCAUAUUCAAUACCCAAGUUGUGGAUUUGACUCUUAAAUUACUAUAUUGAUACUCUUCCAUCGCUCUUACUGUAGUGGACUUGCUCUCAACCACCCAAUGGUUCUCUCCCACAAUUCUGCCUUUCCUUGGUUUUCAACAACAGCAGAAUUUUACCAGUAGCAGGGAGGCAGUAUCAUCACGGUAUUAUAUAGCAAUUACUGGGCAGGGUUAGGGUUACCAGCCAUCCCUUUGGGAUGAUCUGAACCCAGGACAACUCAUUUAAUAGAAGAGAGUCCAAAGUCAUCUCAGUAGAGGGUCGGCAGUGCCUCAGCAUUACAUCUCCAAUCAUAUCUCUGGAUGUACAGGAUGUGGAAAGAUGUGCCAAUAUGAGCCAGAGGAUAUCUCCUCCAUAACUCUAUUUUUAUUUAUUUUUGGACAGGGCACUAAAUCAUAUGGCCUUUGUUUGCCUGCUCAUGAGGAACACUGUCUGACUGCGGCUCUUACGGAUAGAUUUUACAGUGGGUGAACCUGUGUUAUAAAGUAUGUUAGUUAGCCAGACUGUGAGGAUGCUGAAUUCCUUAGCUCCCAUUGGUUUUAUCUCUUUCCUGAUCUGAUGUAGUCAUGAUCCCACAAGGAUAAUAUUUGUGUGUAUAGUCAACAUCUAUGUUGUUCUGCCUACUAUUUAAUCAAUAAAAUGACAAAAGUACUUAUUACCCUAAAUGUAUUUAUUUUAUGUUAGUGUGCUGAUAUAUGCUAUUGUCAGCAACGUGAGAAAACAUUAGAAUGUUUGUGCAAAUAUGGUGUGAGAUCACAAAGAUGACUUUGGGAUUCAGAUUUACACACACGCCAUCUCCUUUCUUUACAGUGUUCUACAAAGGGAGGGAUGAAAUACAAGCUGUAUAACUUGACUUAAGGUGUAAAGCGGCAAAUUGCCUGAAAUCUAAAAAGUUGUGAACAAUAUGGUUUAUUCUGUAAUACCAAUGUAAUAGUAAAAUCAAUUUAGAAAUACGCUGAUAUUAUUUUAUGAUAAAAUGAAUGGAUUAAUAGUCCUGAAACCCUGAUUCUCUCCCCCUCCCUCCCUCCCUCCUAUCUGCACGUCCAUUCCUUCUCUGCACACUUCAAACCCUCCCCAACAACUGCUGGUGGUAAAGGAUGAAGCAUCACGGGGAUGAAAGAGGGAGAAGAGAGAAGUCAUAACGAGGGUGCAACAAAGGAUGGAUAUUUAUAGAUAAAGAGCAACACAGGCUAUACAAACAGAUGUCUAUUCACCAAGUGAAACCCAGAGGCCCUGAGCAGAGAGAAGAAAGCAGUCUCGCUCUCCCUGGAAAAACACAAGAUCUUCACUGCAUCAGAUUGAGUCAGAUGUCAGGAUGCACACUGGGAACACAUCUCUCCUUUAUGGCCAAAAGGACAAUUUAGUUCUGCACAAACAGACUAGGAGUGCACUGUCAGUAACACCAGUGGCUUGAGAUAGAAACGUGUUAAAUAAGAAUAAAUAUAGUUUGAUGGUAAAUAUAACUUCUAGUAAAGGCUACAGGUCAGCUAAGCACAAAGUAGGGCAUGGGUGAAUGGUGUAAACUCAUUAUGCCUAUAACAUAAGAAUGAAUAAACUCAUUAUGCCUAUAACAUAAGAAUGAAUAAACUCAUUAUGCCUAUAACAUAAGAAUGAAUAAACUCAUAUCUACAACAUAAGAAUGAAUAAACACAAUAUAUCACAACAUAAUGAUGAAUACAUAGCACAUAAGUCCAAGGUACAAAGAGAGGAAAGAAACAUACUGAGAAAAACUUCUGUUCACGACAGUGAGACAGAAAGGGCAAAAAUGGAGUCAGUCAUGAACUGCAUUAUUCUCCAUAUUAAAGGGCCCUGUGAUUAUUCCAUAUUAUUUACACAGGAAGUAGAUUACACAAACCCUUUAUGUUAACAAAAUUGUUUAGCAGGAAUUGUGCUGUUACAUUGACAAGAUUGUUAAGGAUGAUCUGUUGGAGUGGGCAACACAUCAACCCUACAGGGGGCACAGCACUGUGAUUAACUAUGCAAAACAGAAUUAUAAGAAAAAAUACAAUUUUGCACUUUAAAGCUAGGCCAUGUCAGUGUCCUAUAUAUUUGUGUUUUUUGUGUUGACAAUAAUUCUUCCCUAAAAGAGGAAUAACAUGCUCCUUUAAACAUAAUUUAGCAUGCUUCAGUUCCAGUGUCGCCAUGCCAACACUACUACUGGACAGUAGGUCAACCAAUGAGAGGCUGGGAAUGUGGAGAACCUCUCAGAGUGCCCUCUCUCACACACACAUACACACAAUUUACACACAUGAUCUACACCCACACUCACUUAUCCAUUCAGUAAAUCAUGUAGAAAGGUUAAGCAUUUCAGAUAUUUUUGUUAAUUAGCGUAAACCAUAUGGAUAUUCUGAGCAACAAAGUAAGCGUAAAUCAGAUAAUUCACUUAAGAGUAGCUAGCAAAGUGAAGUGUAGAACUAUAGAGCAGAGGGACAGCUGUAGUACUGUUGAGCAGAAUGCAUAAUAGCCCACGCAAGUCAGAAUAUCCCCACAAACAGUAUAUGAUAUCUUCUUCAUAAACUAUUACCUGCCGA